CUCAUUUAUUUUCUUCACUGUUCUUUUCAUAAUUUAUGAUUAUUUUAUUCAUUUGUCUUUUUUUCUUGUUUUAGGUUGCCUCUUCUCUAAAAGAGAAAUUGCCGGUUGGCAAAGAUCUUGCUUGGUUUAAUUGCUCUUAGGCCCUCAGCAUCUAACUCUAGGCAUGGCUCAUGGGAGGCACUAUCUCUUGAGUAGAUGACUGGAUGAUCAUGUGAGAAAACAAACAAACAAAGAAAAUACCUCUGUCUUCUCUUUAGCUUAGCCAAUUAGAACAGGCAGAGAUUUUGGUAAAUGUGAGCUCUGCUUUUUCAGACUUUCCAAUGGAAGAUCAAAUAUCAGAUUACAAAUCUAGACAGUGACAGUGCUGAAUGCAGAAUUUUUUCAGUCACCACUAUUGAGAGGUAAUCUUGAUGUCAUCUCAAGGACAUGGAGAGUCAAAGUUACAUACAGGAAUAGCACCUGGAAUCAUGGUUAUCAUCAAUGUUUCAGUAAAGCUGUUUUUCAUGCAUGCUUUGGAUGUCCUUCUACGACCCUUAAAGAAAAGAAAAUUCUGCAACAAACUUAUAAAGUGAAAGAAAGUAGCUGUGGUUUCUUACUUUAAAAAAUGCAAAGAAAGUAAAUUGCCUCUAAAGGAGGAGUAUAAUAACACAUGUUACCAGGCACUGAGCCUUGAUGUAUGACAGCCUCUGGGUCACCUUGGUGUACAUUAUAUCCUUUGGUUCUCAGAGAAAUCGCUAGAGAAGGGAAGAAAAGACAAGAAAAAAAACCAUAAUAAG
rnacentral:lncRNA from 10 species